UACAGAGGUCUCAAGCGUUUGUUCGGAUUCAUUGGGCGUAAAGGGUGUGUAGGUGGCGCCGUAAGUGGGGUGUGAAAUUUCGAGGCUUAACCUCGAAACUGCAUUCCAUACUGCGGUGCUUGAGGACUGGAGAGGAGACUGGAAUUUACGGUGUAGCAGUGAAAUGCGUAGAUAUCGUAAGGAAGACCAGUGGCGAAGGCGGCCCCCUGGGCCGUACCGUGACGCC
rnacentral:rRNA from 1 species